AUCGCUUCUCGGCCUUAUGGCUAAGAUCAAGUGUAGUAUCUGUUCUUAUCAGUUUAAUAUCUGAUAUGUCCUCUAUAUGAGGACUCUAUGUUAAAUGGAUUUUUAGAGCAGGGAUUUGGAAUUAGAGCUUGCUCUGUCCACUCCACGCAUUGGCCUGGUAUUGCAGUACCGCCGGGA
rnacentral:snRNA from 2 species